CAGCUCCCGCUCUUGCUCUCCACCUGCAGCUCACGGGACGAGGACUUUUCGUCUCCUGGACGCAUGCGUCGACGCCGGCGAUGGUGCCCGGGAGCGAGCGCGGUGGUGAUAGCUUCUGGUGGAGACGCUGCAGAUCGACAAUGAUAGUCAUCCCAAAUACCGUGUACGCUGACGUUGCCGCGAGCGUGAAAGGAGCCAACUCGCUAUGUACACCGCUCGCCGCCCACGACGUCGCUCGCCCGUCGCCCCGCGCCAUGUAGGCAACCGUUGC
rnacentral:lncRNA from 1 species